AGAGUUUGAUCCUGGCUCAGAUUGAACGCUGGCGGCAUGCUUUACACAUGCAAGUCGAACGGUAACAGGCCGCAAGGUGCUGACGAGUGGCGAACGGGUGAGUAAUGCAUCGGAACGUGCCCAGUCGUGGGGGAUAACGCAGCGAAAGCUGCGCUAAUACCGCAUACGAUCUAUGGAUGAAAGCGGGGGACCGUAAGGCCUCGCGCGAUUGGAGCGGCCGAUGUCAGAUUAGGUAGUUGGUGGGGUAAAGGCUCACCAAGCCGACGAUCUGUAGCUGGUCUGAGAGGACGACCAGCCACACUGGGACUGAGACACGGCCCAGACUCCUACGGGAGGCAGCAGUGGGGAAUUUUGGACAAUGGGGGCAACCCUGAUCCAGCAAUGCCGCGUGCAGGAAGAAGGCCUUCGGGUUGUAAACUGCUUUUGUACGGAACGAAACGGCUCUGGUUAAUACCCGGAGCUAAUGACGGUACCGUAAGAAUAAGCACCGGCUAACUACGUGCCAGCAGCCGCGGUAAUACGUAGGGUGCGAGCGUUAAUCGGAAUUACUGGGCGUAAAGCGUGCGCAGGCGGUGCUGUAAGACAGGCGUGAAAUCCCCGGGCUUAACCUGGGAAUGGCGCUUGUGACUGCAGUGCUGGAGUGCGGCAGAGGGGGAUGGAAUUCCGCGUGUAGCAGUGAAAUGCGUAGAUAUGCGGAGGAACACCGAUGGCGAAGGCAAUCCCCUGGGCCUGCACUGACGCUCAUGCACGAAAGCGUGGGGAGCAAACAGGAUUAAAUACCCUGGGUAGUCCACGCCCUA
rnacentral:rRNA from 1 species